rnacentral:misc_RNA from 1 species
GUAGGUGAACCUGCGGAGGGAUCAUUAACUGUAACUCCCCGCGCACUCCGGUGCGCGGGCCGUCACAAACCCUUUGUCGUCCGACUAUGUUGCCUCGGGGGAGACCCUGCCUUCGGGCUCGUGACCCCCCGGUGGACCAAACCAAACUCUUGCGUACACAUGUCGUCUGAGUGAUUUACAAAAUAAAUCAAAACUUUCAACAACGGAUCUCUUGGUUCUG